AUAUUUAUUCCUUGGAAAAGUCGUAGUGAUAUUUGGCAGACGAACAUGUUUUAAACGUGAUGUGAUCCUCCAAAAAGGCUUGCAAAUGGGCAGUGGCUGCUAUUCUCUCUUUUAAGUUUUAAAUCUUCUUCUAAUUCUUCUUCCACUUUCAUUGGUCCCUUUUGAGGCGUGUGGGAGAUCACUUGCGAUGGAAUCACAGAAACCCAUGUUCCAAGUCGAAAACUUUGACGAUGAGUUUGUUCAGAAACUGGUCUACGAUGCUCUCGUUUGGUGUUCCCUUCACGGGCUCGUCGUCGGUGACAAAACUUAUCAGAAAUCAGGAACAGUUCCAGGGGUUGGGAUGACGCACGCCCCGAUUUCAUUGCUGCCAACUCAGUUCCCAGAAAGUUACUGGAAGCAAGCUUGUGAAGUUGCUCCCAUCUUCAAUGAAUUGGUUGAUCGUGUCAGCUUGGAUGCCAAAUUCAUACAGGACAGUCUCUCCAGAACGAAAAAAGCCGACAUCUUUACAUCUAGACUUCUUGACAUUCACUCCAAGAUGCUAGAAAGCAACAAGAAAGAGGACAUUCGUUUGGGUUUACACCGGUCAGAUUAUAUGCUAGACGAAGAAACAAAAUCGCUUCUUCAGAUAGAGAUGAAUACAAUUUCUUGUUCCUUUCCAGGCUUUGGUCGUCUUGUUACCGAGCUACACCAGUCAUUGCUUAGAUCUCAUGGGGAUCAUCUUGGCCUAGACUCUGAACGUGUACCCAAAAACACAUCCAAUAGCCAGUUUGCAGACGCAAUGGCUAAAGCUUGGUUGGAGUACAACAACCCAAGAGCGGUGGUCAUGAUAGUUGUGCAGCCGGAUGAACGCAACAUGUACGAUCAGCAUUGGCUAAGCAGCGUAUUGAGAGAAAAGCACAGUAUUGUAACCAUCAGGAAGAGUUUAGCAGAAGUCGAAACAGAAGGGAGUGUACAAGAGGAUGGAACACUUAUUGUUGAUGGCCAAGAAGUCUCGGUGGUUUAUUACAGAUCAGGCUAUACUCCCAGAGAUUAUCCAUCUGAAUCAGAAUGGAAUGCUAGGCUGCUUAUAGAGCAGUCCUCAGCUGUCAAAUGCCCCUCUAUAGCUUAUCACUUAGCUGGCACCAAGAAAAUCCAGCAAGAACUUGCAAAACCAGGUGUUCUCGAGAGGUUUAUGGACAACAAAGAUGACGUUGCUAAGCUGAGGAAAUGCUUUGCUGGACUUUGGAGCUUGGACGAUCCAGAAAUCAUCAAGAAAGCAAUUGAGAAACCUGAGUUGUUCGUCAUGAAGCCUCAGAGAGAAGGAGGAGGUAACAACAUUUAUGGAGAUGAUGUGAGGGAAAAUCUUCUGAGGUUGCAGAAAGAAGGAGAGGAAGAGAACGCUGCGUAUAUCCUAAUGCAGAGGAUAUUCCCAAAAGUCUCAAAUGUGUUCUUGGUGCGAGAAGGCGUUUACCAUAAAGAUCAAGCUAUAUCAGAACUUGGAAUCUAUGGCGCUUACCUCAGGAACAAGGAGAGAGUUAUAAUAAACGAGCAGAGCGGUUAUCUGAUGCGCACAAAGGUCUCGUCAUCAGAUGAAGGUGGUGUUGCGGCUGGUUUUGCUGUCUUGGACAGCAUUUAUUUGAAUUGAGAUUGGAUCCACAUUCACCGUCAACUUGAUUCAUGUUUCUAAAACAUAUAUGCUUCUAAAAAUCUUUUUUUUUUUGGGAUUUGGGAGAUGCAUGGCUGGUUCUGGAUAUAGCCAAGUGGAAUAUUGAUUUGGAGAUUAUAUGUACAUGCUCGAGACGCUCCCACCAAAAUUUACGACGUAUCUAGAAAACGGCAUGGAUAAGAUGGGUGAUGGUUAUAAGAGAUGUUACGAAGAUGUUAUUGAAGAGAUUCUUACGAAAAAAAACUAUAUCUAGAGAGUGUUGUAUGAAAGUUGUAAACAUUGGAAAAGAAUGCUACAUAGAGAUUAGAAAA